GAUGUAUUUAUGUGCUAAAAGAAAUAUAUUUUAGUUUUCCAAUAAAGGGGAUCAAAGUUUUGUGUUUUUUUUUUUUUACAGUUUUGAUUCUCUAAGCUGGUAUAUGCUAUAGUUUCAGGAACUUCAGCAAUAUAGAAAUGUGCUUAUAAAUAUGCUUACCUUUUGAAUAAUCAUGGCUUUGUGUUUAAAUAUUUAAAACUUAGCCUUGUUUUUACUUGUGCACUAUGAAUGAACUUUGUAUUAUUUUUUAAAACGUUCACACUAUAUGUAGAUGUUACUGCAAUUUAUAUUUUGCCUGUGCUUGAUCUAAAAUCAUUGGUGUAGAUGAGUAAUUAAAGACACUGAAAUCAUGUUAUUGGAGAUCAUCUUUUAAGUUGUCUCUGUUAUAAUGAGGGGGAGAGAGAGAGAAACUUAUGCACCCAGGAUGAUAAUUGACUCCACAGUAUAACCAAAUUCAUGGUCUAAUAAGCCUCUUAACAUGUGGCUCUUCUUGGAAUGCUUGACUUUCACAUGCCUCACAUUGCAUAGUUGUAAUUCAUGAUCUAACCAUGCUUUUUCAUGUCUUGAUAUUUGUCAAUACACUUUGGUAUUUUCUUUGGUGAAAUAUAUUUUUUAAAUGUUUUUAAUUGC
rnacentral:lncRNA from 1 species